CAGUCGCCACGGUAAUACAGAGGGUGCGAGCGUUAAUCGGAUUUACUGGGCGUAAAGCGUGCGUAGGCGGCUUCUUAAGUCGGAUGUAAAAUCCCUGAGCUUAACUUAGGAAUUGCAUUCGAUACUGGGAAGCUAGAGUAUGGGAGAGGAUGGUAGAAUUCCAGGUGUAGCGGUGAAAUGCGUAGAGAUCUGGAGGAAUACCGAUGGCGAAGGCAGCCAUCUGGCCUAAUACUGACGCUGAGGUACGAAAGCAUGGGGAGCAAACAGGAUUAGAUACCCCGGUAGUCCCUGUCUCUUAUAC
rnacentral:rRNA from 1 species